rnacentral:lncRNA from 10 species
GAAGAGACAUGGUAUAAGUUUACCUGCUUCAAACAAUGCAGUAUGCUACUGCUUUUGCUCAGAAAAACACCCUUGUCAAAUUUCCUUUGUGUAAAUGAAGACUCUCCCUGCAGCACUGGAAUUGAUUUAACCUUCCAGAUGAAUACAUGAGGGAUAGGUGUGUCUAAGACUAUACAGCUAAUAAGUGAUUGGAAUAAAUAGAAGCAUUGACAUCCUGAGCUGUAAGAUCCUUCCACUUCCUGUCUGGUUCCCUUUGAUCCCAGCCUCUCUGACAUCACUGGAGAAAUGCCAGCCUAUGGAAGACAACCUCUGAGUCUCCUGGUGCCAAAACCAAGAACUUACUUGCAUCUACAUGUAAAUCAGAUUUUCCCUUGGGCAGCAUGGAGCAAAUCCCACUGUGAAAAGGUUUCCUCCGUCUUCCUCUUUGUCAGACUGCAUGCUGAGUCACAGGAUGGACCAGAUGUGUUGGUAUGAGAUGAAGUCAGGCCGGGAGACAAGAUGGCAGGCUGAGAACUGGGGCUGGCCCUUCCUGUGCUGUCCAUUCCGGUGUGGUCCUCCAGCCCUUCUGGAUUGUCAUAAAGGUGAUCGAUCAUUAAAGGAUCCAGCUUCAGAGGGAUGUAGGAGGAAAAACUAG